rnacentral:rRNA from 1 species
AAAACUUUCAACAACGGAUCUCUUGGUUCUGGCAUCGAUGAAGAACGCAGCGAAAUGCGAUAAGUAAUGUGAAUUGCAGACUUCAGUGAAUCAUCGAAUCUUUGAACGCACAUUGCGCCCCCUGGUAUUCCGGGGGGCAUGCCUGUCCGAGCGUCA